UACGUAGGGUGCAAGCGUUGUCCGGAAUUAUUGGGCGUAAAGAGCUCGUAGGCGGUUUGUUGCGUCGGCUGUGAAAUCCCGAGGCUCAACCCCGAGCCUGCAGUGGAUACGGGCAGACUAGAGGUAGGUAGGGGAGAAUGGAAUUCCCGGUGUAGCGGUGAAAUGCGCAGAUAUCGGGAGGAACACCGGUGGCGAAGGCGGUUCUCUGGGCCUUACCUGACGCUGAGGAGCGAAAGCGUGGGGAGCGAACAGG
rnacentral:rRNA from 1 species